AAACAACGAGAAACAAGAUGUGUUAGUUAUAAAAUUUGAUAAUGGAGACUGCACAUCUGUUAAGGAGAACAUUUUGAGAACCACUGAUGAUCACUCUGAUGUGUUUGAUGACUUUAUUCAAAGUAGUUUGUAUGUCUGUUAGCAAACCAUUUGACAUAAGUUUAGUAGUUUUUUUAAAAAGUUAUUUGUGCUUUCUUCCUGCCUUACAGGAUAUGUUCUGGUGACUUUAGAUUCUAGGAGGGAGAAGUCUAGUUCUACCCAAAACUGCAAUGUAUUUUUAAGGAAAAUUGAUUUUCUUGUUUAUUGUGUCAAUGGUUUCAUAUAAUGCAUUGUUGACAUCAUUGAAGUGGGCUCUUCUUUAGUUACAGGCACAUUGCGUAGGCAAAGCAGUGGGGAAGAAGUUGGAUCAAGGGGAACAGAAUGUUCUUCCAAUCCUUCAAAGCUUCAUCGAAAUGCUUCUGCCGCAGCUAAUAUGAAUAACCUUAAUAUGAAUAACCUUGUUUCACAAUCCUCUUCCGCAAAUCCAGG